GCGUCGCUCUUCUCAUCCUCUACAAUUCUAUCUAAGUUUUGUGGGAUACUCCAACAUGGAUUCUAAGCGGGUUAUAUCUCUACUUCAUAUGGGCUAGGGUAAGAAGUGCUCAAACCCUUGUGAUUUAUCAUUUUUAUGAGUCCUAGGUUGAUGUAUGUAUGUGAUAUUGGUUAUGUUAGUGUAUUUGGUGAUGUUGGUG